GAAACGGGGCAAGCCUUAGAGGGUGGUACACAGCUGUUGCAUGGCUGUCGUCAGCUCGUGACGUGAGUUGUUCUCUUAAGUGAGGUAACGAGCGCAACCCCCAUUCUGUGUUACUAUGUCACAGAAGACUGCCCAGCAUUAUUUUGUUGGGAGGAAGGAGGGGACGACGUCAAGUCAUCAUGAUGCUUAUAUCCGGGGCUACACACAUCCUACAAUGGGUGGUACAGAGGGCCGCAAUACCGCGAGGUGGAGCUAAUCCUUAAAACCUCCCUCAGUUGGGAUUGCAGGCUGAAACUCGCCUGCAUGAACUUGGAAUUGGUAGUAAUCGCAAAUCAGCAGAUUGCGGUGAAUACGUUCUCGCCUCUU
rnacentral:rRNA from 1 species